AGCAGCCGCGGUAAUUCCAGCUCCAAUAGCGUAUAUUAAAGUUGUUGCAGUUAAAAAGCUCGUAGUUGAAUUUCGGGGUUAGUAGGUCGGUCAUGCCUCAGGUAUGUACUGGUCUCACUGAUUCCUCCUUCCUGAUGAGCCGUAAUGCCCAUUAAUUUGGUGUUGCGGGGAAUCUGGACUGUUACUUUGGAAAAAUUGAGUGUUUAAAGCAGGCUAACGCUUGAAUACAUUAGCAUGGAAUAAUGGAAUAGGACGUUCGAUCCUAUUUUGUUGGUUUCUAGGAUUGACGUAAUGAUUAAUAGGGAUAGUUGGGGGCAUUAGUAUUCAAUUGUCAGAGGUGAAGUUCUUGGAUUUAUUGAAGACUAACUACUGCGAAAGCAUUUGCCAAGGAUGUUUUCAUUAAUCAAGAACG
rnacentral:rRNA from 1 species